AUGGGUUAACGCCUUCGGGCACAAUCCCCACCCUUUGUAACUGCGGCCCGGAUUCGGCGCCUGGCGGGGAGCACCCUCUGUUCGCGGAGGGCCCCGCCUGCCGGAAUUAGCCAACCCUGCCUAGAAAAUUGAAGUCUGAGAACAAGUUAAAUUAAACA
rnacentral:misc_RNA from 1 species